UAUCAUCCAACAAGUCAAAGUCAAACUAAUAAAACAGAGUUGUUAUUUACCCCAAAACUAAAUACCGCAGCAAAUGGAUUGAAUGCUUACUAAGGCACUGCUUAACCCUAGAAAGACAAUGAAAUAAAUUCACAGCGCCUUUGCCUAACAGAGCAUGACAAACUAACGAAGGACUCAACAAAACCACACGAACUUAAUGGGAAAAUGUGAGGCAAAAUGGUUCAUAAAGGAAAACGAAGCAGCGAGUUGGAAAAAAAUACUCAAGGAUAACAAAGGCUCAAAUAGACGUACAAAUGUCAAUUUGCUUUGACAACUGGCAGCGUGUGUCACGAAUGAUUGCAUUCAUACAUCAAACUGUAUGACUAUAUGAGGUCAUAUAUCCACUCAUCUAUCUUUACAAGCCAUAAAAUCUGCCACAUUAAAGUAGAACAUAUGCUUUACUUUUUGCCAACAUUAAAAUGCAAUAAACUACGAAAGUUUAAAAGCUGAAACAAUGCAGCCAACAGAAAGGAAAAAAGAAAACUAAAAGCACAUUAACCUCUGCAAAUAUAGUUAAAUGAAAAUGAAUAGAAUAUAAAAUUCAAAAGCAGUGCCAAAAUAAGAUAUGCGGGUGGCAACUCUGCAGAGUACACAAACAUAUGCAGAAGAGCACAAAAGCAGGAUGCCAGAAGGAAUGGCAAAAUAAAAAGGCAAACCCAGCAAUUGCCGCUGCAGCAAAGGCAAAUGCAGCAACAACAGCAGGAGCAGCAGAAGCAGGAGCAGCAGCAAUGCAAGUUCAACAGUUGCAACUGCAAUUGUGGAUUUUUUAAUUGUUCCGAGAGUUGCACACAAUCUAAGCCAAAUCAAACUCAGUCAAGAGCCAAGAGCCAGGAGGCAAGUGGGAAGUGGGAAGUGAAAAAUGGGCAAAUGCAAGUCUUCAUGAGUAAAAUGAAAAUUAAAAGUCCUUUGAACUUUCUAAUUUUGUACGUAAUGAGUUAAAUAAGAAUUUAAUUGAGUUGUGAACGGUAUGCAAGGAGCAGCAGUAGAAGUCAAAAAGCAAGGAAUCGAGAGGUGAAAAAUAAAAAU